AAAGUUAGAGAAAAUCUUUCAUGUUAUAAACUUCCUACUGGCAUAGAGGUUUUGCAAUACUACCUAUAUCUAAGAAACUUGAAUCCCAAAGUAAAGAAAACGGUUUUAGGUGUCAUUUCGAAAUUAAUUCAUUUGAGCUCAGAUGCCCUCCACAAGCUGACUGUUGUGUAAUGUCUAAAUUGGUAAGGCCAUGGAAUCUUGCAGGGUUCCCUAUCAUAACCUUGGAAAAUAUCAGAAAGAAGAUUGAUAAAAUGGUGAACAACUAUUACAAGUUAAAGAAGAAUAGCAAAAGGAACAGCCCAACAGAUACGAAAAGGAAUGAGGCAUUUUUUGAAGAAAUGUUAAAAUGCUUUUGGAUUAGUAAAAAAAAAGAAGAACUAAUUGAAGAUAUUAUAAAAGACAGGAGAAGGACAUCCGAAGCCAAAAAUGAAGAUAUUGCGUUUAUCUUAGACCAAAUUGGAAAUAGGAUAGGAAGAAUAGGAACAAAUGAUAAAAGGUUUACGUACGCUAUUAAGAGAUCCCACAAAAAAUUGUGUUCCAUGUUAAACAUGGAGAUUAAAGUAAACAAUGGUAACAAUCUAUACAGUUUAGAAAACUCUUCAAGUAGUGAUAAUAAUUCUGACUGUGAAUAUGUAGCAGAUAUAAAAAAAAAACAAUCUACCUCUGUUGUUUUGUUACCAAAAAAUAUUUUAAAAAAAACAGCUCUCACAGCAAUAGGUGAAGGACUUUCAGUUAGACAACACACUGCAAUAGUGGCAAGUGUUAUUGCUAAUUCAGGAGGUGAUGUUACUAAUUUUGCAAUAUCUUCUUCAACCGCAUUUAGAGUUGCAGAAGAAGUUGUAACUAAAGAGGAAGAAAAGAUUAAAAAGCACGUUACUGAUCUUGUUAAAUCUUCAUCAUUACCAAUUAUUCUCCAUUUUGAUGGAAAAAUAGUUAAGGAGUUCACAAGCGGAAUAGAACAUCAACUUGACAGACUUGCUGUUUCCAUCAGGAUAGAUGGACAGAGUGAGCUUCUUGGGGUUCCUCAUUUGAGCUCUAGUACUGGAGAAUACAAUCAUAAAACUUCUUCAUCAAUUUGAUAUUUUUGAUAAAUUACAAGGAUGCGUUUUUGAUACAACUUCUGUAAAUACUGGUAAUAAAAAGGGUGUGUGCAUUAGAUUAGCUGCAGAGCUUGAUAGACCACUACUUCUCCUAGCAUGUAGGCAUCACAUCUAUGAAAGGCAUAUUAUUCACUGCUGGAACAUUUAUCCAAGCAGUAAAAUAAAUGGUCCAGAUAAUCCAUUGUUUAAGAAGCUUAAAGAUGUAUGGAACUCAAUUGAUCAAAAUUCCAUUGUGUUAAACAAAGUAAAAAUUGAAGAUAUUUCUGAUAGCUGGCUGCAGGUACAGUUCAAAGAAGCCUUAUCUUUUUCUCAAAAUAUUAUCAGAAUGAAAACAAUGAAAAAGGUAUUUAAAAUUUUGAAUAAAGUAAAUACUCUAUAAUAAAAUAAGUUUAGUAAGGUACUGUUUUGUGUCUAAAUAAAUAAUCUUAUUUAGGAUAGAUGUAGGUCUGAUUAUCUAGAGUUAGUGGAAUUGACAACAAUGGUUUUAUCUGGUGAUGAACAGUACAGGCUAAGAAAACCUGGGCCUGUACACCAUGCCAGAUUUAUGGCAAAGGGAAUAUACUUUCUGAAAAUGUAUAUCCUUCUAAACAACAUUUCUAGCUUGACAGAUUUUGAGAAGAAAGAAAUAAAUGAUAUGGCAUUCUUCACAGCUGUAUUUUACACUGAGUGGUUUAUAAAGGCUGAAAUUCCGGCUGUCGCUCCAUAUCAGGAUAUGAAAGCUCUUUGGCAGAUGAUGAGAUACUCAAAAAUCAAUCCUGUCCAGGCAAAACCUGUUAUAGAGUCUCUAAAGAGACACACCUGGUACAUAGACCCAAAUAUUUUAGUUAUGUCUCUUGUUGACAAAAAUGUACAAGAAUGGAGUGACAUUGCCAAGAAGUUGUACUCAACCCCAAGACCUACAACUUAUGCCAUAGAAAGACAUCAAGUUAAUUUAAAUAUACUGAACUCCCUUAUGUUUAAUGAUGAUACUCCCCCAAGUUUGACCCCGCUUAUAACUGACCAGAGUUGGUUAAUUUUUCAUAUCUUAAACCAUGCAAAUGCUGAAGUACAGUGGUUUAAGACUCCAUCUGAGACAUGGGAUCUAAAUGACUAUUACUUAGAAUUCAAACAAUUUGUGAAUAAUCUUGAAGUAGUAAAUGACUGUAGUGAGAGGGCUAUAAAACUAGUUCAGGAGUUGAUCAAUAAAUCGCAUAAUGAGGAUAAAAGACAAAGUACCUUCCUCGUAUCAAACAAAUAUAAGAGUGAAAGAACAAUUAAAAAAAAAUGUGAUUAUGUAAAGAAUUCUUUGUUUACAAAAUAAAUUUAUAAACAUGAACUA
rnacentral:misc_RNA from 1 species